UAGUUAUGCGCCUUUGAAGUUGGAGGCGAGAGAGUGAGAGACGGCAGAGAAAACAACAGUCUCUUUGUCUGCCCCCUCUCACUUUCUCGCCUCCAACUUCAAAGACGCAUAACUC
rnacentral:sRNA from 13 species